CUCUCUGUUCAGCUGUGUGAGGGUGUUUCAGUCAGAGACGCGGAGCUGGAUUUGUUGUGGGUUUUAAAGGCCUCGGGUUUCUGUGGAGCUGAGAGACUGUUAAGAAGUAGUUUGAUGUGGGUUCACUGUGGAUCUCUACCUCACUCUGCCUCACUCUACCUCCAGCUUUUUACAUCACAUGAGCACAGUCUGCAUUGUGAGGAGCCUCCUCUGUUGCUGCAGGUUGAUGAGGUGUAAAAGGAGACCAGACCCUCUGUCUCAUUGUGGUGGAUCAUCUCUACAAGGCUAAGAAAGGUAGGAACUCUUGGGUUAAAACAUUUAUUUCAACAAAAUUUUUUUUUUAGACAGAAAUUAAUUGGUUCUAACUCCAGUGGGAUUAGUGUACCCAUGUUUUAUGGUAGGAUUGAGCCAAAUCAGCUGAUUUAUUCUAAUGCAGUUGAUUAUUUUAGUGUGAAACUGUAUUAAAGAAAUGUUGAAUAAUAAUGACAACUCAUAAAAGCAUAUUAAUGAGAUAAUGGCAAAAAAAUCUGUUUCAAAACUCCAAUAAACUCUAAUAAAUUUAACUUAAGCUUAAAACAGUAGUAAAACACAGUGUCAAACAAAACAAGAUUUUAAAUUAUAGUAAUUCUACAGAAACAAUAACACCAGUAUAAAGACAGUU